rnacentral:rRNA from 1 species
AUGGACUCCCUUCAUCUUGUGCACGUCAAGCUUCUGGCUGCCGACCUUCUCUCGCUGACUCCCCGACAUACAUCGCCACCUUCCUUUGUUCGCUGUGGCCGUACGGUUGCUCGUGCCGAGGUUGUCGGGGUCGUUGUUUCACGUGACCGCAGGGACAAAUUUCUCCGCUUCCUGGUUGAUGAUGGCACUGGCUGUGUACCAUGUGUCCUGUGGCUGAACCACCAGUACCUGAAUGCAAACAGUUCAUCCGAUUCUGAUCCAACUGGAGAGAUGGCAUCGAAAAUGUCGGAGGUCGUACGCCUGGGCACCCUGUUGAGGGUUCGUGGGAGGAUUGUCAUGUACCGUGGUGCAAUCCAGAUUGCUGCUAGAGACGUGGUUCUAGAGGAGGACCCUAAUGUGGAGGUUCUACAUUGGUUACAGUGCGUUCACAUGGCCAAGGAAUGUUAUGAUUUGCCACUACCUUCUGCUUGA